rnacentral:misc_RNA from 1 species
GAUGAAGAACGCAGCGAAACGCGAUAUGUAAUGUGAAUUGCAGAAUUCAGUGAAUCAUCGAAUCUUUGAACGCACAUGGCGCCUUCCAGUAUCCUGGGAGGCAUGCCUGUCCGAGCGUCGUUUCAACCCUCGAGCCCCCGUGGCCCGGCGUUGGGGAUCUGCCCAGGCAGUCCCCGAAAACCAGUGGCGGACCCGUUACAGGCCCUUCCCUUGCGUAGUAGCAUUCGCCUCGCAUCGGGAGCCGGCGGGCUUCCAGCCUCUAAACCCCCAUCAAGUCCGCCCCGGCGGCACCAAGGUUGACCUCGGAUCAGGUAGGAAUACCCGCUGAACUUAAGCAUAUCAAAAGCGGAGGA